rnacentral:lncRNA from 1 species
CAUGAAACCAAAAAAUGCAAAAAUAUGAUACUGAAUUGUAUACAUCAGCGAAAAAGAGUAAUAAUGAGCAAAACACGGUGGUUUUCAAUCACCGUUCCAAUGACAUUAAAAUAACAAGACAAUGUUGUUCAGUAAGCAAAAUACUAAAAAAGACAUAACCAAACCAAAAACAGACGCAAGCAUAAUUGUCUACAAACAUGCCUAACUAUUACACUUAGUCGACCUCCUCAAUCUUGGGACCAGCACCGCCACUGCCACUUGGAGGUGGAGCAGCAUCAUCAUCAACUUCUGGACCUUCACCAGCUCCACCUUGGUACAUCUUUGCAAUGAUUGGGUUACAGAUUGUCUCAAGCUCCUUCAUCUUGUCUUCAAACUCAUCGGCUUCAGCAAGCUGGUUUGCAUCAAGCCAUUGAAUGGCUCCCUCAAUUGCAUCCUCAAUCUGCUUCUUGUCUCCUCCUGAAAGCUUUGAACUGAUCUUCUCGUCUUUAAUGGUGUUUCUCAUGUUGUAUGCAUAGUUCUCCAAGGAGUUCUUUGCCUCAACCUUCUUCUUGUGCUCCUCAUCUUCACUCUUGUAUUUCUCUGCUUCUUGGACCAUCUUCUCGAUUUCUUCCUUUGACAACCUUCCCUUAUCGUUGGUGAUGGUAAUCUUGUUCUUCUGCCCGGUUGUUUUGUCCUCAGCAGAGACAUUCAAGAUACCAUUGGCAUCAAUAUCAAAACAAACAGUGAUCUGAGGAACACCGCGGGGUGCUGGAGGAAUUCCGGAAAGCUCAAACUUACCCAACAAGUUGUUAUCCUUGGUUCUGGUUCUCUCACCUUCAUAAACUUGGAUCAAAACACCAGGUUGGUUGUCUGAAUACGUAGAGAAAACUUGCUCCUUCUUGGUUGGAAUGGUAGUGUUCCUUGGAAUCAAUACAGUCAUGACACCUCCUGCAGUCUCCAAACCUUGAGACAAUGGGGUGACAUCCAAAAGCAACAAAUCUUGAACCUUCUCAUUUCCUUCACCACUCAAGAUAGCAGCUUGAACAGCGGCACCAUAAGCAACAGCCUCGUCGGGGUUGAUGCUUUUGCAUAGCUCCUUACCAUUGAAGAAGUCUUGCAACAGUUGCUGAACUUUGGGAAUCCUAGUUGAACCACCAACAAGAACAACAUCAUGAACUGUGCUCUUGUCCAUCUUAGCAUCUCUCAAACACUUCUCAACAGGCUCCAUACACUUCCUGAACAGAUCCAUGUUAAGUUCCUCAAAUCUGGCACGGGUGAUUGUGGUGUAAAAAUCAACACCCUCAAACAAAGAAUCAAUCUCAAUGGUAGUUUGUGCGGUUGAUGAGAGAGUUCUCUUCGCUCUCUCACAUGCGGUUCUCAAUCUCCUAAGUGCCCUAGGGUUUCCGCUAAUAUCCUUCUUGUUCUUCCUCUUAAACUCUUGAACAAAAUGGGUAACCAUUCUGUUAUCAAAAUCUUCACCACCAAGAUGGGUAUCACCUGCAGUAGCCUUAACUUCAAAUAUACCCUCUUCAAUAGUAAGAAGUGACACAUCAAAAGUACCACCACCCAAAUCAAAGAUCAACACGUUCUUCUCACCAACACUUGUCGCCUUUUUGUCAAGACCGUAGGCAAUAGCAGCAGCAGUUGGCUCAUUAAUAAUUCUCAAAACAUUUAAACCAGCGAUAACACCAGCAUCUUUAGUUGCUUGACGCUGAGAAUCAUUGAAGUAAGCAGGGACAGUGACGACGGCAUUCUUAAUGGUGACACCAAGAUAAGCUUCGGCAAUCUCACGCAUCUUAAUCAAAACCAUGGAUGAGAUUUCCUCAGACGCAAACAGUUUUUCCUCACCCUUGUAGUUAACACCAAUCAUUGGCUUUUCACCAGGACCCGCAAUAACCUUAAAAGGCCACAACUUCAUGUCACUCUGAACAGAAGCAUCAGAAAUUCUCCUACCAAUCAACCUCUUGGCAUCUGCAAAAUUUCAAACCCCAGUUAACAACAAUUGCAACAAUAAUUUUAUUAAAACAAUUCAGACAAACAACAAUUAACAUACAUAAAAAAUAAGAUAAACCCUUCUAAACAUGACAAACAAAAAUCAUCCCACAUCACUACAACAUCAAACCUAUGAUUUUUUUUUAUGUCUUUCAUCUAAAGAUUAUUAACAGGGUAUUUGUUCUUUUCUCAAAUCAAACAAUAAACAAUAACUAACCAAUUUGAAUAUUAAAUUAUAAAUGUAUAAAAUAAUAUAACAAAGAAUUCAAAAGUAUAGAUUUAGUUUUCAUAAACUAGUUUAAACAGAAUUCUCACAUGCUAUAAUCAUAUUAAAAUUAGGUUAACUUACACAUACAUACAAUUAUGUUCAACAUAGGUUAACUAUUACUAAUUAACAUAAGAUUAAAAUAGAUCUUAGCCAAGAUAAACUAUAAAAAUUACCAACAAAAAAAUCACCUUUAAAUCUACAAAAUUCAUAAUCAAGGGUUUACAUCAAACUACAACCUUAAUAACAAAAACGAACGAAAUCAAUUAUAUUUCAACAAAAAUUGAUUACAAAAUUAAAAGUACUGGACACUCAUACACACAGUAAUUAUAUAAAACGCAUAUUCAAAAUUAUAGUCACAGUAACAAUAUAAAACGGAUAAUCAUGAUUUAACAAAAAAAAAAAAUAACAACAGUAAUAACAAAAACCAGAUCUAUAAUCACAAAGAACAAAAAUUAAUCAAUGAAAAGAAUUAGUGUUUGUAAAAAUUACCAAAAACGGUGUUGGUUGGAUUCAUCGCAACCUGAUUCUUAGCAGCAUCACCGAUCAACCUUUCACUAUCAGUGAAAGCAACAUAAGACGGUGUCGUUCUGUUCCCUUGAUCAUUAGCAAUGAUCUCAACACGAUCGUGUUGCCAUACUCCAACACACGAGUACGUUGUUCCCAGAUCUAUUCCGAUUGCAGGACCCUCACCCUUGCCAGCCAUAGCUACGAAGAUUAGAGUUUCAGAAAUUAGGGUUUCUGAAAGGGUUUCAGAGAGAGAAAGAAAAUUAGGUUUGAGAAAAGAGAGGAACGAA